rnacentral:rRNA from 1 species
ACACGUGGACAACCUGCCCUUAGGUUGGGUAUAAACCCGGGAAACUGGGUAUAAUACCCGAUAGGUCUCGAUUGCUGGAAUGCAUCGAGAUUUAAAGCUCCGGCGCCUAAGGAUGGGUCUGCGGCCUAUCAGGUAGUAGUGGGUGUAGCGUACCUACUAGCCUACGACGGGUACGGGUUGUGAGAGCAAGAGCCCGGAGAUGGAUUCUGAGACACGAAUCCAGGCCCUACGGGGUGCAGCAGGCGCGAAAACUUUACAAUGCUGGCAACAGCGAUAAGGGAACCUCGAGUGCCAGGUUACAAAUCUGGCUGUCGAGAUGCCUAAAAAGCAUUUCAUAGCAAGGGCCGGGCAAGACCGGUGCCAGCCGCCGCGGUAACACCGGCGGCUCGAGUGGUAACCGUUAUUAUUGGGUCUAAAGGGUCUGUGGCCGGCCGGAUAAGUCUCUUGAGAAAUCUGGCAGCUUAACUGUCAGGCUUUCAGGAGAUACUGUCUGGCUCGAGGCCGGGAGAGGUGAGAGGUACUUCAGGGGUAGGGGUGAAAUCUUGUAAUCCUUGAAGGACCACCAGUGGCGAAGGCGUCUCACCAGAACGGACCUGACGGCAAGGGACGAAAGCUAGGGGCACGAACCGGAUUAGAUACCCGGGUAGUCCUAGCCGUAAACGAUACUCGCUAGGUGUCGGCCACGGUGCGACUGUUGUCGGUGCCGUAGGGAAGCCGUGAAGCGAGCCACCUGGGAAGUACGGCCGCAAGGCUGAAACUUAAAGGAAUUGGCGGGA